rnacentral:rRNA from 1 species
AUUGAACGCUGGCGGCAGGCCUAACACAUGCAAGUCGAGCGAACGGCGGACGGGUGAGUAAUGUAUGGGGACUGCCCGAUAGAGGGGGAUAACUACUGGAAACGGUAGCGAAUACCGCAUACUAUCGGAUAACCCAGAUGGGAUUAGCUAGUAGGUGAGGUAAUGGCUCACCUAGGCGACGAUCCCUAGCUGAGCUGUGAGGAUGAUCAGCCACACUGGGACUGCGACACGGCCCAGACUCUUACGGAGGCAGCAGUGGGGAAUAUUGCACAAUGGGCGCAAGCCGGAUGCAGCCAUGCAGCGUGUAUGAAGAAGGCCCUAGGGUGGUAAAGUACUUUCAGUCGGGAGGCGUUACCGACAGAAGAAGCACCGGCUAACUCCGUGCCAGCAGCCGCGGUAAGAC